ensembl:lncRNA cingulin-like
CCCACAUAGACAGACACACACACACACACACACACACACACACAGACAGACGGCCUGAUGAACGUCAAUUCCACGCAAAUGCUGAAAACUACUUAAAGCGAUUCAUUAUAACGUCCAUUUCUAGGCGACCGUGAAUGUUCAGAAGUUCCGUUAGAACGCUACAGUUACAUGAAAGAAAACAAGUUCGAUUGAACUCGCAGCUGCAGAGUUUGGAGUCCGGGCACCGUGUGUGUGUGUGUGUGUGUGUGUGUGUCGCGGAAUUUUCACAAAUUUUCAAAAUAAUAACCUAGAACGAUAAGUAAUUAAAUGGUUCUGAAUAACGUCAAGAGAUGUGCACAGCACAGAUGUUGCAGGACAUGGAUCAGCGGCUGCAGGAGGAAGGGUUGGGUGCCUCGGCCUCCAGCGAUGAGCGUCUGUCUCUGCUGUGGCAGCUUUACACGAAAAGUGAAAGUACCGUGAGAUCCCUCAACCAGCAGAUACAAGAUCUGCAGAAGGAACGUGUUGCUGAGAUUGAAAAGGUGAGUACGUCUAAAGAAAAAACCUGGAGACUCAUCACUUGUUUGGUUACAAGGAUCUAUACAAGUGACGUUUGGUCUGUGGAACACAAAAGUAGAUGUUUUUGAUAGAUAAGCAAUGCAAGGCAUUGAAGAAUAUACACAAAAGGGAAACUGCAGUCUUGUCCUUCUUCGAUCUCAGGUUCAGCAAUAUGUCAAUCACAUUAAGAGUCUCACAAAGACCCGAGACUCUGUGGCUUUACAUCUCGAGCAAGAAAACAAAACGUUCCAUGCAACUCUGGAUGACAUCCAUCGGCAACAAGGUGCAUUUCUGUCUGAUCUCUCCUCCAUCAGACUCGCUCUUCACCACGCAUGACAUUUGAAUUUAUGCUUACAGAAGCACAGAGGAGUGAGAUCUCCGAGAUGUUACUUCAGGAAGGUCUGGCUGAUAUUAUUCCCAUCAGCUUGAGUGAACAGGUGGCUUACCUCCUCGCAGACAGAGCUUCGCUGCUGGAGAAAAUACAAAGUCAGGAGAAUGUGGAUGUGAAGACCACUGAGGAUCCUGAUGUCCAAAAGGAGGAUUGUAGAGGGAAUGUGGUCAAAGUGGCACCACCACACAUUCAGAGCCCUUGGAAGAGGCUCCUAGGACUCAGAAAGGCUGCUCAGAGUAAACCGAAAUUACUGCCUGCAGAUGACCUGCAGUGCAGUAGUGAUGACAAGUUGAAGGGACGGACGUUGCAGGAACUGGAGCGAGAUGUAGAAGAGGCGUCUGCUCGACUCACCAUGGCCCACAAAGAGAUCCGCAGGCUCACGGAUGAGCUGGAGUCGGCUCACCUGACACAAAAGGCUUAUGAACCAGAGCUGCAAGAAGCUCAAAUGGAAGUUGCACACCUGCGUCACGAAGUGGAGAAACUGAAAUGCUGUGAAGUUGCUGAAUUACGAAAAAUAAAAGAGAUUAACGAGAAACAGGAAGAAGAGCUGUGCUACCUUAGGGAGACUGUGAAGAGGCUACAGGCACAGGGUGUACAGUUGCUCGAAAUGACAGAAGCCCCUAACAGAACCGUCACUCCAUCCAAAGACAAGAAGCCACAGGAAGAGGAUAUCCAUAAACGGUGUCUUGACGAGAUGCAGGAGAGGUUACACAUGCUGCAAGAUCUGACGCAGGUCACGCUGAAGCUGCGGAUGGAGUUUGAGACGGAGGCCGACCUGCGGAGGAGGGCAGCGGCUGAAUGUGAAGAGCAGAAGAGGCAGAGGAUGGAAGCAGAGCGGUUAGUGCGAGACUUCCAGAACCUCUGUGAGAAACAGGCGGACGAUUACAGGACCACCGUCGGCAGCCUUCAGGUGGAGAUCAGAGAUUUAGUAACUAAGUUACAAGAGCUUGAGGCACAGGACGUGGAAAGACAAUGUGACAAACACCUGAAGCAGGUGUCUUCUCUGGAGAAUGAAGUUUGCCAGCUGAAGGCUGUCCUUCAGGAGGAGCAGCAGAAGACCGGGCAGCUGUCCAUGACCAUGCAGAUGGAAACUGACCAGGCCAGAGCUUUGGUCCAGUGCCAGAACGUCCAGCUUCAGCAGGAUGCAGAAGAGCAGAGGAGGAUGUUUGAGGAGCUGCAGGGCAUCCAGAACAUCCUCAGCACCACCAAACAAGAGCUGCUGUCCCAGAGGAGAAACAACACACGACUGCACAACAACAUCUCUGACGCCGAGCAGGAAAACCUCAGGCUCCAACAAAACACCGAAGACUUGAGGAACAGACUAACCAGCAGUCAACAGGAGACUGACUCUCUGAGGACAGAACUUCAGCUAGCUCUAGUUAGCGUGGACGCUGAGAGGAGUAAAUACAACGACAAGCGAAUCCACUACAAAAACAAGCUGAGCCGGGCCAGAGGGCUUUACAUGAGAGAGACAGGGUGGCGUGACGAAAAAAUAAAAGACUUGGAGAAAGAGAUUUUUAUUUCCAGGAAACAGGAGGAAAAGGCGUCACACAUGAUGAAGAUGGUCACGUCUGAAAACGAGAGUCUGCUUCAGAAGAACAGAGAGCUUCUUUUACAGCUGCACGACUUCGAAGAGGCACAGAAAAAUGCUUCGGAUGCAGUUGCCUCCAUGCAGAUGAGGAUAAAUUUGCUUGAAGAAGAGAAUAUUCAGCUUCAGCAGACGACGGCACAAAUGUCAGAGCACAUCGAGUGCCUGACGAUACUAGCCGAGACGAACUGCGACGAAGUCACUGCCGAGAGUCGCGUCAUCGAGGGCGAAGACCAAGCUACUCUACCUACAUGAAUAUCUUUUUCUUUUCAGUGUAAACUCAAUUCUUUUUGUAAACCUAAAUAUUUCAAAAUAAAUUUCUCAUCCCA